CAGUCGCCACGGUAAUACGAAGGGUGCAAGCGUUACUCGGAAUUACUGGGCGUAAAGCGUGCGUAGGUGGUGGUUUAAGUCCGUUGUGAAAGCCCUGGGCUCAACCUGGGAAUUGCAGUGGAUACUGGGUCACUAGAGUGUGGUAGAGGAUAGUGGAAUUUCCGGUGUAGCAGUGAAAUGCGUAGAGAUCGGAAGGAACAUCUGUGGCGAAGGCGACUAUCUGGGCCAACACUGACACUGAGGCACAAAAGCGUGGGGAGCAAACAGGAUUAGAUACCCCAGUAGUCCCUGUCUCUUAUAC
rnacentral:rRNA from 1 species